rnacentral:lncRNA from 1 species
CCAUGCUCAAAUUAUAUAAAAAUCAUAAAAUAUUCUGCCUUUUGAAGUCUCAAAGUACCCCCAUGGUUCCCCAACAAUAAAUCUGAUAUGGACUUAAAAACUGCACAAUGUAUGAAAAUAAACAUAAAAUUUGCUGACCCCUUGCAUACAUUAACACAUACCAGUCAUAGACAAAUGAUACUACUGACUAAAUUCCUGAAGCCCUUAACAUUUCUGAAACAAAACCUGAAAUCUUAGACAUUGAUAGACAUUAAGAUGCUCAGUUCUUGUGAGAUGUGUAGGAAAUUCAGGGUCUUCUCUAAUCAAUCCUAAUAGGUACUCAUCUAGAGCUUCAUAAACCUUGUAUUUUAAAACUAAAUAAAGAACCCGGCCAUGUUUUCAUUUGGAAAACAUACGAUUCCAAACAAACUUGAUGCAGUAUCACAGAAUGGAAGGGAUGUAAGUUUUCCCUAGGUAACCCAAGAACUAAACAUUUACUAGGAGAAAUUUUAGGUGCCUACCGCCAACAAGUAUUCACGUGCUGGAUUUUAUUGAGAUUAUCCCUGCAGUUAUUUGAUAUCAGUCAGGUUCAAUACCCCUCUGCUAAUGAGGUAGCAUGAGUCUACCUCUUAAACCCAAAAGAAGCUAUUGUUAUUUGAGUUUAUCCCUCAAAACAUGAUUGCCCAUAGGAAUCAUCCAUUUUUUCAUAUUGAGAAACCACCAUAUCCAGCCAUAUGUUCAUUGUUAAGCCUUCAUAAUUUAACUCAACUAUCCAACUUGAAAGCUUAAUUAUCCAACUUCAAAACAUUGCCAAUUUUUGGAUGAAUCAGUGAUCCAACUUAGGG